UACGUAGGUGGCAAGCGUUGUCCGGAUUUACUGGGCGUAAAGAGCGCGCAGGCGGUCGUUCAAGUCGCGUGUGAAAGCCCCCGGCUCAACUGGGGAGGGUCACGCGAUACUGAUCGACUCGAAGGCAGGAGAGGGUAGUGGAAUUCCCGGUGUAGUGGUGAAAUGCGUAGAUAUCGGGAGGAACACCAGUGGCGAAGGCGACUACCUGGCCUGUUCUUGACGCUGAGGAGCGAAAGCAUGGGGAGCGAACCGG
rnacentral:rRNA from 1 species